CGGGUGAGUAACACGUGGAUAACCUACCUAUAAGACUGGGAUAACUUCGGGAAACCGGAGCUAAUACCGGAUAAUAUUUUGAACCGCAUGAUUCAAAAGUGAAAGACGGUCUUGCUGUCACUUAUAGAUGGAUCCGCGCUGCAUUAGCUAGUUGGUAAGGUAACGGCUUACCAAGGCAACGAUGCAUAGCCGACCUGAGAGGGUGAUCGGCCACACUGGAACUGAGACACGGUCCAGACUCCUACGGGAGGCAGCAGUAGGGAAUCUUCCGCAACGGGCGAAAGCCUGACGGAGCAACGCCGCGUGAGUGAUGAAGGUCUUCGGAUCGUAAAACUCUGUUAUUAGGGAAGAACAUAUGUGUAAGUAACUGUGCACAUCUUGACGGUACCUAAUCAGAAAGCCACGGCUAACUACGUGCCAGCAGCCGCGGUAAUACGUAGGUGGCAAGCGUUAUCCGGAAUUAUUGGGCGUAAAGCGCGCGUAGGCGGUUUUUUAAGUCUGAUGUGAAAGCCCACGGCUCAACCGUGGAGGGUCAUUGGAAACUGGAAAACUUGAGUGCAGAAGAGGAAAGUGGAAUUCCAUGUGUAGCGGUGAAAUGCGCAGAGAUAUGGAGGAACACCAGUGGCGAAGGCGACUUUCUGGUCUGUAACUGACGCUGAUGUGCGAAAGCGUGGGGAUCAAACAGGAUUAGAUACCCUGGUAGUCCACGCCGUAAACGAUGAGUGCUAAGUGUUAGGGGGUUUCCGCCCCUUAGUGCUGCAGCUAACGCAUUAAGCACUCCGCCUGGGGAGUACGACCGCAAGUG
rnacentral:rRNA from 1 species